CCUACGUGAGGCAGCAGUGAGGAAUCUUGGUCAAUGGGAGAGAUCCUGAACCAGCCAAGCCGCUUGAGGGAAGACGGCCCUAUGGGUUGUAAACCUCUUUUGUCGGAGAACAAAACCCGGGACGUGUCCCGGACUGCGUGUAUCCGAAGCAAAAGCAUCGGCUAACUCCGUGCCAGCAGCCGCGGUAAUACGGAGGAUGCUAGCGUUAUCCGGAUUUAUUGGGUUUAAAGGGUGCGUAGGCGGUCCGUUAAGUCAGCGGGAAAAUUGCGGGGCUCAACCCCGUCGAGCCGUUGAAACUGGCAGACUUGAGUUGGCGAGAAGUACGCGGAAUGCGCGGUGUAGCGGUGAAAUGCAUAGAUAUCGCGCAGAACUCCGAUUGCGAAGGCAGCGUACCGGCGCCAGACUGACGCUGAGGCACGAAAGCGUGGGGAUCGAACAGGAUUAGAUACCCUAGUAGUC
rnacentral:rRNA from 1 species